GGGGAAAUAUUUAAAGGUUUUAUGUAGAAGAUUUUGCUGUUAGAAUGUUUAGAUGCCGGAGAACUCUUAACUAUCCUAAGAAUUGUUAAGGAACAAUUUGAAUUCUACAUUUCAAAACAGCAUUUGACUGAACGACUAAACAUCAUACCAUAUCAUUAUAUAUAAUACGUUAAUAAGGUAUAUGAUAAGGUAUGUUGUUUAAUCAAACGCUGUUCCAACCUCAGAGUAGGAAAAACCAACAAAAACUCCCCAUCAACUUGGAUUCCUUGUUAUGGAACACAAGAUGAUCUCAUUUGAGCGCUAGGAUUAGAAGGUACAAACAGAAUAAUAGGCAGAACCGAGCAUGGAUACCACGGCAGGGAUUUUAUCACUACAAUUAAUAUCAAUACUCUAAAUAGACAGCAUGUGCUUUACUCCACUUUCUUUUCCUCUUCUCAUCUAUUCAGGUUUUCAGGUCUAAUUGUAGGAAGUUAAGGUGCCUGGACUUGUCCUAUAAAUCCUUAAGGUGUUUUAUUACUCAUGGUUUUGUUUCAUUGCUCUGGUUAUUGAUUAAACAUGUUUGCCAUGUUUCUUAUGCAAGUUUUCUAGUCAUCUCUGUGGGCCCCAGGUCAAAAGUGCACAAGAGGAACCAGGUCCAGGUUUCCUCCAUGCUGCUACACAACUGGAAUGUACCUGAGGAAAGCAAUUAUUUGCACACCUGCUAUGUCUUUUCAUCUUCUUCCAGCAUCCAGAAGCCUGAUGAAUGAUGAUUGACCUUCACUAAAUCGCCAGUAGCAGUGCCACCUUGUAUACACACAUUUGCCAUUUUCUCAAGUACAGUCAACAUAAAGUGUCAUCGCCUUUCAGGCAGUGCUCUCCAGGGAACCUCUGAGAUCAAACAAAGAGUCUUCCGUUGACAUUUGCGAAGGAAAUGCUACAAUCAUUGAAGCUCGAUUUCCUCACACACUUAAUGUCAGGCUUUGAUCACGAUGACCAUUAAUACACAUAGCAAAUAUGACAUAGAGCCUAAUCACUUCAGUUUGUAAUCAGAAACGAAGGUGGAACCAACCAACACCAACAGGUAUUUAAUGUGGCCAUCAUAUGCUCGGCCUCCCACGGAGUAACAGGAACCCUGCCCUGUCUUACACUUUAUGGAGAGAGGAAUGUACAUCUUCUCUCACUCAGCCUGUUUUCUUCACACAUCAUUUAAGCAUUAAAAGAGGUGUGUAUGGUGCAAUGUAAGUAUGUUCAGGAAUGAUUCAUCGUUUUGAUCGUUCUGACUGAUUUAUGAGGUUGAUCUUAUUUAUAUACUGGAUUUAUAUUUAUUUAAUAAAGAAAGCAGUCUUUUAAGUAUGAAUGUAGAUUAUUUCUCAAAUGCCUAAAAUGUCAAAAUAAUCACAAUCAUUAAGUGGACUUAUUUACAGGAUGCGUAGCAGUACACAGUACACACUGUCAAUAUCUACCGUAACAUAAUCCACCAUAACUAAAGCACAGGUGUGGAAAUGUUCUUUAGCUUUGACGUGGGUUCUCCUAGGAAUGCUCAUUAGAGGAUGCGGAGCCAGGAUUGUGGGCCAGGAUAAAUUAGAGGCUUGUCUUGAAUUAUUGUGGCCUGCACUCACCUGUCUCAUGAAUGAGUAGGUGAGGACCAUGAGUCAAAUUUACUCCCCUGUGGAGUGGCCACAGGCCUCAAGGUGGUGCUGGGAAUGAAACUGCAUGCUGGGUCCAUGAAGAGGCCUCCACCCCUCCCAGCAGGACCUCUGUCACUCGGCACUGACCCCCUGUAGCCCUCAGACCUGCCGAGACACAGCACAGAGCACAUGCAAGGAAUGCAAGCAUGGUGAAACAGAAGGCAGUAACAGGAUCUGAAGAUGUGAAGUCAGCAGACAGUAUGGGUGUGUGUCCAUGAGUGAGACUAAUCACUAAGUCAAAGAAGAGCCCACCUAAGCCUGAGGAAGAGCUGAGAGUAGACGUUAGAACUCAGCUGGAUGCUUGUACCUGGACUAUUAGUCACCUAACAAUGGAGAUUAUAUGGGGAAGGAAGAGGGUAUAUCAGAAGACCAAAGGAUGCUCAUGCCAUAAUAUAGUAAUUCCAUCUUUAGUGUUUACCAGUCAAGUGUAAGUGGUUUUUAGGGUAUUUUGAUAGAUGCUGAGUAUAUUGCUAGUGUAACGGUUGUCAGAAAAAACUGUAGUUUGGAACAUCUAGAAAAGAAAAUUGCUAAUUGUUUAUCAGGUUAUUGAACAAGAUCGCAUGCGACAGAGCGUGCACAUACAUCACAGAUUAAUAUGUUGCGCUGAGAAAUUUUGACCUUGAUUGAUCUUGAGUUUAUGCACAUGUGAAAAAUAAUGAAAUGAAAAAAAAAAACAUUGGAAUAACAGCUCAUACCUGUUAAGUGCACUACCUAAAUUUAAAGUUGGUAAACUAUUUGGGACCUGUAUGCUGCACAGUAAGGAAGUAAGGAAAAAACAAACAAAAUGAUUGGCAAUAGCACAAUUGCCCAACCCUGGACUGGAAAUUUACCCUUCAGCAGAGUCUAACACACCUAGCAGUAAUGUAAACAUUGUCCUGAUGAGCACGAUCAAGUGCAUUCGGGUAGGAUAUGCAGUUUUCAAGGGACCCGAGGAGUGUGGUUGGGUUUAUUUUAAAAUAUAACGUUUUGAAAUACGGAUGCAGAGCAAUAUCUAUAUUAACAAAAAAAUUCAAGAAUUUUCUCAGCCAUUUUCUCAUGUCGAAAGUGAUUAAAUAUGGGUUUUUAAUAUUUUCAGGAAAUUCUCAUAUUGCAGUUUGUUAUUUUUGUUUGUUAUAUUGCAUUUUUGAGAACAGUACAUACUCUAGCACUUGCCUAUACAGUAUGUGUGUAUGAUGCCUGUUUACGUUUAUAUUGUGAAAUGUUGUUGGAAAUUGUCAGCUCAUUUAACCGCUUAACGUGCUAAUUAUAUUUCCCUUCUUUUUCUAUGCAUGUACAUUAAAAUAAUCUGUCAGAUGAAUUAAUAUGAACCGAAUUGUAAAUUUGUAAACAUGCAGAAAUCUACAAACUUUUCCGAACGACACAUUGUAAUUGGGUGUGGUGAUGUGGUGUGAUACAGUUCAGCUUGUUCUGAGCUUAGUCACAAUCGAGAGCUGUCAAGACAGGCACAUUAAGGUUUUUGGUUAAAAAAAAAAAAGUUGCCACACUGCUCUGACCAUGUGAAGAAAGUAGUCUGGUUUAAAAUAAAUAAUAUGUGAAAUGUAAAACUUAGCCCAUAUCUGCAAUACCUUUUGCCAUUUCUGGAAAUGUUGAGCUGCAAUUUUUAAAUGUCCCUGUUACCAAAAUAAUAUACUAGAAUAUGAAUAUUGCCCUAGCACAUGUCUAAUGUAAUAUGCUUGACAUAGAUGUGUCAAUGAAAGAGCGAAAACAGGUCCAUUAUAUCAUGGGGUGUUAUGUGGAGUUGGACAGUAGGGGGGCGUUAGCUGGUAUCAUGUGUCCUUUAAGAGAGGACCCUAGUGGACUUCCCCAGGAUCCCAGCAGGAAGGGGUGAGGUUGCCCACCGUGGAAUGUUGUUUCUGUUUUGAGUGACCAUUACUACCUGCCGACAGUCUUUCUUCCAGGCCUCUAUUGCCUGGGGAUUCGAUUGGAUUGGAGCUGUAAAACUGUGUUUCACAGGGCAGUUCCUCAGGGUAAUUGUUGGGAGGCAGAGCCCUCAUUCAUCCUCAGCAGGGGGCUACAAUCGCAGGCCUGCCCUAGCCUUUGGGCUGCUCUACUUGGAGUUAAAGAGACCCUAGCAGGAGACCUUAUUCCCGUUACACAGCCCUGGUGCCACAGCUGUCCCAAGACAAAUCUGUUGCUUUAGAUGGAGAGUCUUUUUCAACAUGGAAUUUUCAAAGCUGUCAUGGAAUGUGAUUUAUUUGACAGGAGAUCAAACAUGGCCUUGUGUAAUUGUGCAUGAAUCUGAAGCCAAGGCUUACCACAAGAAUGAAUAAUUAUUACAAAAGGAAAAUUGUACACAAAACAUCCCAAUUUAAAUAAAGGUUUGAAUAAAGUGAAAACUUCCAAGCAA